GCCUGUUGUCCGGUGAGAAGGCGCGGACGAACAAGGGUGCCAGUUGGUGUCGAGUGGCUUCCUUUUGUCCAGCCGGUCGGUCGAACGUGCUCGUCGACUGGUUUCCUGGCUGCGGAUCGUUCACCAAUUCCUUCACGGAUUCGCGCGUCAGCUGUGUCGAACAGCAACCAGUGGAACGUUCGAAAGCGCGAACACCAGCGCGUCGCAACUUACCAUUGUCGAACGCGUAUCCGUGUUGUCGCGGCCAACCGGUCCGGUUACCCGGUGUCGGAUGACUCCCCCCGUACGACACAGCCUUCCCGUAGUCGUAGAAAGGACGCAAUACCCCGUAGGAACAAAGGUUAUCGCGCGGCGAGCAAAGCACCUCGUCGUCGCGGUUUCUCAUCGGCGGCGUCGUCGGUGGUGCGCCGGCCCGCGCGUCCCGUUAAACUCCUCGCGAUUACACCUUCCCGUGCACCUUCCUAUCUUACGUCCGUGAUGGCGGCUGUACCUGAUAUGUCGCACCUCACCCCCGAGGAGAGGAGCACCAUCGAGGAGGUUAUGAUCAGACAUAAACAGGAGGAGGAGAAGGAAAAUGAGAUAAUGAGACGAAAGCAGGACGAGGUGAAGAUCCUCGAGGAAAGGAUACGGGCCUGUUCGGAGAAACACAAGAAGGCGGGAGUGGAGCUGCAUGCCACGUGUCACAUAUGCCUGAAAACCAAGUUCGCCGACGGCGUCGGCCACAUCUGCAACUACUGCAGCAUCCGGUGCUGCGCACGCUGCGGCGGAAAGGUCACUCUACGGUCGAACAAGGUAAUAUGGGUGUGCAUCCUUUGUCGCAAGAAGCAAGAACUGCUGUCGAAGACCGGACAAUGGAUGUCGAAGGCGGGACUCGCUGCCGGGGACAACGCGAUGCUGCGACGGAUGCAGGACAUGCAGGUGGGUGGUCCUCCGGGACUCGUGGACCAAACUCAGGAUAAAAGACCGAAACUCGAGAGAGCGCACAGCGCGGCGGAAAAGGAGAAUUUGCCAUUGUUACUAAGGAGCGGAAGUCUGCUCAGAAGACAGUACUCUCAGCAAGAGCAAGGCCCGGGGCGACGAUUAUCCACCAGCGAUAGCGGGGUGGAUAUGUCCGUUUCGCCUCAUUCGAGAAGUUUGCCAACCCCGCACGUAGCUGCUUCUCAUCAAAUUCAACAACCGCCGAGACAUCCGGACGCGUACGCCGAGGAUGACCCGAGUUUGUACAGAGGCGAGAUCGACGGUCUUAUGAAACAGCUCAACUACCAGAGACAACGACCGAUCUACACGGAUCAGAAUACGGAUCUCGCGAUGACAUAUGGUCAGCCAACGGUAGAAGCCGGCCCACCACGUAGCGCGGUGCAUCUUCCUCAGCAACAUUCGGUGCAUCAAACGCAGAGCGCGCACCCGCCACAACCGGUGGGUGGACAGGGUGGUCUUCAGCCUCAAAGAAGCUUCAGCAGCAGCGAGGAAGAACGAAGCACACCCGAGUGUGCCAGCGACGAGCCUGACGAGUCCGAGAAGGGGAAGGGGUACUACCACCAUACGGGAGGUCCGAUGUCAAUGUCCGGCAGUGGACGUAGAUACAACGGACCCCACAACGGGCAUCACAACACGGGCGCGAUGACCAUCGAGUAUAACGGUCAUCACCCACCGCGAGAGCCGCGAAAAGAAGAAAGCACUCUCGUCAGACGGAGCUUCCGAAGGAGUGGCGACGAAUGGCGCGCCGACAGUCGGAGGUUCACGGAGAGAAGGGGGAAAAAGACAGUGCGAUUUGACGGUGGGACCAAUGUCGGCGGCCCUCAGGAGGAUUGGUCUUGGGAGGCCGAUCGGCAGGGUAGCCAAGACAGCGCGACCAAAGACUCCGGGAUAGACACCUCUAGCACGUUCACGAGCAGUGAGGACAGCAACAGGGGCGACCUGCCCAAGCAUCCGUUAUCCUGGCAAAUGAGCAGAGACGGCCAGAAGAUCAUUGGCCACAUGGUGUUGCGAAAGCAGCCCGGUUCCGGAAGCAGUAGUAGCAUACUCGGGCUGAAAGUGGUCGGCGGGAAACUAUUGGAGGAUGGUUCUAUGGGCGCCGUCAUCGAGAAGGUCAAGGAGGGUAGCACGGCUGAUAUAGAAGGUCAACUGAGACCCGGUGACGAGGUGAUCAAGUGGAAUGGCAGGUCCCUUCAGGGCAAGAGUUUCCGUGAAGUUUGCGACAUCAUCGCCGAGUCGAGGCAAGAGCCCCAAGUGGAGCUGAUAGUUUCGCGAAAUCUAUCCCCGACGAGCGGUCCGGUGACGAUGCCCGCAGGACCGACGCCUACGACGCCGAUGGCGUCCAGAAGGAUCGCCGCACAGACUCAAUGGAGGCAAAAGCACCCGGAGUCGAUUUCCGGCCCGCAACAACCGCAUCACAAAGAUUAUAUGCUUUUUCGUAUUCCAGGUCUUAAGAAAUGUAUUCUAUGGGAAUUAUACGACGCGAGGCGCGAGAAACCUUCGGUUUUAGUGACCUCGCCCGGCUCGCCGGAUCUCCACGCUCAGGGACGGGCCAGACAUCUACGCCAUCCUCCUGGAAACGCGAACGUGGGUGGUAAUCUUCAGGUGAAGCUCAGCUUCGAUCCUAUGGCGCUUCGAUUGAUCGUCACGUUGAUCUGCGCGGCCGGGCUCACGCCCAGGAGCAACGGACAGCCUAGAAAUCCCUACGCCAAGAUCUUCCUGCUUCCGGACAAGGGCGAGAAGUCGAAGAGACGGACGCAAACAUUGGCGAACACGAACGACCCGAGAUGGAACCAGACGUUCGUCUACGAAGGUAUCAGGGGCGCAGAAUUGAGGAAAAGGGCGCUGGAGAUCACGGUUUGGGACUACGGGAAGUACGACACGAACGAUUUCCUAGGCGAAGCUGUGCUCGAGUUAGCGACCGCCCGUCUGGACGAGGAACCGGAAUGGCUACCUCUGAUCGGACACGGCGAACAUCGACACAUUGGAUACUAUCAGGAGCCCGAUGACAUGGUGAUAACUCCGGUGGACUGCCAUCUCAGUCCACCGUCGACGACGUCGCGGCUGAGCGACUCUGACACUUCCGAAUGCGAUAUCACGGACUGCGACGUCUCCAGGGAGCAAAGGAGAACAGCUGACGGUGCCAGUAUAAGCAGUAUCGGCAGUUCCUCCAGGUUUCAUAAUAUGCCGUCAAAUUAUAAGCGCCACUAUUCUAGCCCCCCGCCGGAAAGGGAGCUAUGCCUGGACGGGGAGCAUCGAAGUCGCAGGGACAUGUCGCCGCAGGGGCGUAAACGAGCCGCCCUCAUGAUACGCGACCAACCAGCGUCUAUUUCUGGUUACCAGACUUAUCGCAAGGAGGAUAUACAUCGAGGAAUGAUGGGGCACAGGUCGCACAGUGCAGCGCCUAUGGACUCGCCGAGCCUUCGAUACAGGGGAAGGUCUCAAAGUCCCACAGGUCAUCGCUCUCUGUCUCCGCCGGAACACAGAUCCAUGCCCUACUCGCACGGCUACGUGUCACCCAGAUUCGGCUCGAGGUCGGCAACUGCCACACCCACGGGUAGCCCUAAGAAGAGACAGUUACCCUUGAUCCCGUCAGCAUUGAAGGAAAGGGCUGCGAUGGAUCUCGAGGAAAGGGCGAGAUUUAUGAGACACCGUAACAGGCAGGUGCACACGACGUGCAGGAACACGGGGAUGGGAGGUUGGGAAAGACACUAUAGCGGACUGUCGGACUCGGAUCUGCCCUCGAUAGAUCACGAUCCGUUAUCUUUGUCGCACAGUCACGCUUAUCGAAUGCACAGACCGCGAAGGGGACAUUUAAGUCCCGACAAAGACGUACUUGGGGAUCUCGGUGACUCUGAUAUGGAGAGUAUAGCCUCCGUAACGAGUAGUGCCUUCAGUACGCAAUCGGAACGACCACGUGGAUCUAGAGGGCUAAUACCGACAGUUAAAAACGUUUUAAUACCCGGUGUCAUAUCCCCUAUGCCCCUGCCCCCUAGGCGCAAUAGGCGCAGGCACAGACUUAGGGUACCCUGCAGCGAAUGUCACUGUCCGAACAACAAUCCCACCAAGCCCAGGAGCAACAACCCAAGCAAGCACAAUCCCACCCCGCAUCCCCUCGUACGGAGCAAGUCCGCAGUGGUGCGCUCGUUGUACAGAAAGAUGCGUACGCCGUUCACGAGGUCGCAGACCGUCGACGAGAACAUGCUGAGAUAUUACAGCCCUGAGACCAGCGAGUACAGCGUCUCCGAGGGUUACAUGCUCAAGCCAGAGGAGCUUACCGGUAGCUCCAAGAAUCGUAUACCAGAGAUAUACGUGGAGGAUUGCCUUCAAGUCGACUUCAACGAUCGUCUCAUCGAGAAGUUUCGCGACAGAUACUCGUCGCCCUACCUUCUGGACAACGGUAUGCGUAGACGAUCUCGUAGCUGGCAGGAACGUGUCACGGGGAGAUCCGCGAAACCUAGACAACUCCAUCUCUUCUCGAGAGGCUUGCACGAUCUAACCGACGAUCUCGGCAUUAGGAACCUAGACAUUAGCAUACGACCGCGUAGGUCUUUUCUAUUCUCCAAAGCUAGAAGCUUCGAUUACGACGUGCUACACGAUGCCUAUGCAGAUCGUUACAGUUUCGGCCUGGGUGCCGGUAUGCUGUCGCGUCGCGCCAAGAGUUUCGAGUACGAUACAAUUUCCAGCAACAUAUUCAGCGACGACAGUCUACGAACCGCUAGACGAAAAUUGAAAAGAAACUUGUCUAUCAACGACGCUGGUUACGGCGACAAGAUACCCGCGCUGGGUGAUCAAAGCAAAUCGUACUUCGACUCGAACGGCGACGACAAGGUACCGAAGAGUCUGCUGAAUCGCGAGAAGAAUUACGAUUACCUGCUGAAACAGGAUCACAAACCGUUCUACGGUUACGAUUCCGAGUUCAGCUGCGGCGAGACUGAGAUUUACAUGCCGCGUUUCGAUAAACAGAACGUCGAUCCGAACCUCGCUCGGAAGAGUUAUCGCUCCUACAACCUGACCGGAGAGCAGUCUUUCAGCAGCGACGAUCAGAUCGGUCUGAGAAACGUCCUAGGCAGGGAGGAUCCGACGAAACGAAAAUACAUGGACUCGUCCUCCUUCGGCAGAGACAUGUCGGAGAAACGUACGAAGAAUCUCGACAGCGAUAUUUGCGAUUCGGCUAACGAUCACAUUUACUGCAGCAUCGACGAAGCACUCGCCUCGACGGACGGUUACGCUCGCGAUAGGGACGUCACUUGUUCACCGAUUCGCACGGUCGCCGAUUUGGAGCGUUACGACAAUCAGAGACCGAGCAGUCGGUCUCGCAGAAGAACGAAAAGCAACGAGUCUUAUUUAGAAAACGGAUACGAUAGUUACGAUUGGGACGUCGAGUACGACGAAGGGUUCAUCGACAGGGGAAAGAUCGAGGAUUACGACGAGAGACUGUACGAUUACGAGGACGAGGGCGUAGAUGAUUAUUACGACAGAAGAGAGGAGGCGAGUCGAGGAAGCGGACGGAAGAGGAGAACUUCGCGAUACCCAGAGGACGAGUACAUCGGCGACGAGUAUCGGGAUUAUCGUUCCGCCGAUGAGUACGAUUAUCAAACGCACAGCGGUCCAGUGUGCAGGGACUCGUAUCAGGAUAAUACGAUGCCACGGAGAAGACGCAGACGAAGCCGAAGAGGGAGCAGAGAAACGAGCAUCGGUGUAUACGAAAAUCUGCAACCGUAUCGGGACUUGUCGUCGAUGAAAGACAGCCUGACAGUUCCGAGCUUCUCGGAGAGCAAACGUAUGAUGCUCCAACGAGCCGAAUCGUCGCCGGUUUUGCGUUCCGACGAGGAAUUAAGCUCGGCGGAGAGAGCGGAGAGAGCCAGACGGUUAUAUCGACGCCGAAGAAACAGCAGCUGUCCCGAAGCCAGAGAGAUCCGAUACUACGAUACGCCUCGGCGGAAAGACGAAGAGAGAAGCACGAACUUCAUUCUGGACUCGGACGAGGAGUUCGGCUCGAUGGAGACGGUCGUGUGCGCGGACUGUUUCCGUCAAAAGAACGAUACGGUCAUGGUUAGCGAGGGUACUAGACCGGCAGGGUACUACGACGCGGAACAGGAACGGGACGUUUGUUGCAUAGAUUCGAGAUGCGGGUACGAGGACGCUCGAGUUCGCGACUAUCCGGAUACUUGCGAAUUGACUAGGUCGGGAUCGUUACGUUCGUCGUUGCAGUAUCGGUCUAGGCGUAAGAGUAGUUGUCCCGAGUGUCGGGAGUUAGCUAUGUCCUCGGAGUUAGGUAGGUCCGGUUCGAUGACGCGUAAAUCCGAGGAGAGAAGGCCGUCGAUAGACUCGAGGCACACUAGGUACCGUAGACGAAACAGCAGUUGCCCGGAGGCUAGGGACCUCGAGUUGCUCGAGAAGAGGCAGCAACAGCAACGUGAUCAACAGCAAGCCCAACAGCGUCAACAGCAGCAGGGUAGUAAGAGGAACGUAGCGAUCAGCGAUACCCUCGAGUACUACGAGUACUCGAUGGAGAGCGAGAGCCAGUGCAGCGAGAACUGCGGAUUUGGCCCGUGCGAUCCGCGUAGGCCCCGUAACCGAGCACCCCACCCCGGUAACGCUAAUUCAAGUCUCUUUGAUUCCCAAACCGCUACCUCCGACACUGCUAAAAACUACCACCCACGGGCCGUCGAUCACCACGAUACCUCACGAAACACGAAAACGUCGACCCGCGGCAACGCCGACGAAUCGACCGGGGCCCUAUCGACCACAUCCCCGACGUCGUCCAUCCGACGCCGUUCGCGGAAAAAAUCCGCCCACGACACCGGCGACCAACAACGCGGCGACGACGACCAACGGGAUCGCCGAUCCUCCUCCAUGCCUGAAAGCAGCGAGUACAGCGGACAAUCGAGCUCCUACGAAAAGACGUCCAGGAGUCAGACGGCUGAUAACGAGCGCGACGAUCAUGCCAAAAGGGGCCAGUUCACCAGGAGUCUUAGCAACACCGACGCCCCGCAAGACGAGAAAGUUGACGGUAGUUUGAGCGAUACGGCGAUCGGUCUGAACGUCGAAGACUCCUCGAGGAGGGGUCGCAAGAGUUCUCCCGGGAGUAAAAGCGGAAGCGGAAGCAGUAGCGGUGGCGGAAGCGCGGUGCAGUAUCAGUCAGGUCUUGGGAAGAAGAGUAACAGCACCAGUCAACUGUCCGCCACAGAGUGCGGUAUCGGCGGGAUCUUCGUCGGGAGUGGUAGCUCGGAGGCACGUGUCGGUUUAUCGAGCCGGAAACGCAACAGCACGCCGAGCAGCAUACAACGUUCCGAGGAGAUUGUACCCUAUCAACGCUUUGAAUCCGGAAAACAGUCGGGAUCGGUGGCCAGUGACACAGCCGGAAGUCUCAACUCGAUCUCUAGUUCCGAAGGAAGCUCUUGGUCUCCCAGUCUGCGAAUGACAGGCGAAACUGGCCAGUUGAGAGACUUCAUCGAAGAUCUGGGCCCUGGACAAGUGGUGGGAAGACAAGCAUUGGGUGCUCGUUGUUUGGGUGGGAUUCAGCUGUCGUUGACCCAGAAGAAGGGCUACCUUGAAGUGGAGGUCAUACGUGCCAAAGACCUUAAGCCAAAACAGGGCAGUAAAGCGAUUCCAGCUUCCUACGUGAAAGUUUAUCUGGUGAACGGGAAGAAAUGUAUCGCAAAGGCGAAAACGGACGCGGCUAGGAAAACGUUGGACCCAUUUUACCAACAAUCGUUAUCCUUUAGAGAGAAUUGUCGGGGUUGUAUACUGCAGGUGACGGUGUGGGGUGAUUACGGCCGAUUAGAGGGGAAAAAAGUGUUCAUGGGCAUCGCGCAGAUCGUGUUGGACGAACUGAACCUCAAUGAGAUGGUGUUCGGGUGGUACAAGCUGUUCGGCAACAUAUCCCUGGUCAGUGGACCUCCAUCCUUAGCUUUGUCCCGUCGAUCCUCGGCCACUUCCUUAGAAUCCUUUAAAAUCUAAGCAACAAUCCUUCCAGUAUCCUCUUUACACUUAACAAGACGUAGUGCAAAGUUCUUUUUAACUCUAAUUCCCAAUGAAAAAGAAAAUAACAAAAGUACAUAUAAAUAUAUAUAUUUGAUCGCGUUUAACAAUAUCUAUAUAGUUUUCUCCGACCAGAGUCUCGCUGUAGUUGUUCGCGAACGUUCAAGAUACAACAAGAAAAGACUCUUUUAGAAUCGUUAAGACAACGUAUAAUCGUAAGUUUGAUCGUUAGUUUAUCGUGGUUCAUAUCCGUUCCAUUAUCCCCCAAUGAUAACGCUAUUGAAAAUUCGGGAAAAAUCGAAUCACGAAACGAUUUGAUCGGCUCUGAAUACGGUAAUGUCCAGUUGACUCGAUCGUAGAGGAGAGUUUGCGUGGAUACAUUUGCGCGUUCGUGUCGAUCGACCGAACGAGUUAAGUGUGCUUUAUUUGCAAGAUGACCGCGAGAAUGGGAUAAGUGUGAAAGGUCGUACGAGAGGAGAUGUGUUUUCUAGAAACACCACGUAUCACAUAUCAUGUACGGCAUAUCAGACGAACCGCUAGUCUGUACGUAGACUAGAUCUGUAGAGAUAGCAGCCAUGUACCCGGACCGCCAGAUAGUUUUAGUGAAAUCGAUGCGGAGGUACUCUAUACGAGUUGGAUAGGAAUUGCAACGUGGUGUUCGGUGAGAAAGGAAGUGCCGUACGGUUGUGACUCGAUGUUCAAUUAUACCGAAGUGAAAGCAGAGAAGGAGAAGAACAGUGAAGUGAUGUAAAUUGUUCAUACGUGACAUCGAACAUUGUGAAUACAUCGUCACGCGAACGACUUAAAAAAUGAAACACGCAAUUUAAAUAAAUAUACAUAUAUAUAUAUAUAUAUAUAAUAUAGGCCACGCGUAAUUCGCGACAGACAUUUGCAAAACGUUUGUACAUAAUUUAGGAGGCUCCAAAGUGUUAAUCGCCCAGUGACGAUUUACAAUGAAGAUUUCCAAAAAUACGGUCGCACCAAACAAAGCAAACAAUACAGGAACAAAGAACAAACUACGAACUCGUUGUCAAAGUUUUUAGCCAAGAAAAUAUCAUCGUCAGAGCGAUAUAUAUAUUAUUAUUAUUUAUUGUAAAUACUAUAACAAUGAUAUAUACAUAUAUAUAUAUGAAAUUCGCGAUACGUAUGCGCGCAGCUGUUUAAAUGACGAACAAUUGCCUUGACCGUCGCGUUUUCGUUGCCUGGUUGCCAUCCGCUUCCGGUCUCCAAUCGAUUUUUAUUAACCACGAUCGACGAAACGAGCUAUCCGUUCGAUCGUUCAGGAUCGAAGUCGCGUGGCAAUUUGGCAAGGAGACGGGGAUAUCGUGAAUUAGCGAAUUGUUGUUGAACGUUAUAAAAAAAGUAGCCAUCUUCAACUAUUUUGCAUGGAAGAGUGUGCUUAUAUGUGCGCGUGUGUAUGGGUGUGCGAGAAAGGGAAGAAAGAUAAAAAGAAAAAAAAAGACGCGAAUGCUAAAAAAACUAUAUCGACUGUCAUAAUAUUGUGAUUCUGUUAGUUUUAUUUGAUUGUCGAGAACCUCACAGAUUCAGGUGUUUACGCGUACGGGGGACACAAAAGCCAUGUUGUACCAUUUAGGACUUUUAUUCUCUUUGUCGACUUGCACUCGAUACUUUAAAGGAAGCUCGUUUUUUUAACGUGAAUAUUUACUGAGAACGAACCGCCCACAAUAAAUCGCGUACUGAGCGGCGUUCCGCGGAUAAAGAAAUCGUGCCGCGAACGCUGCUGAUGAAUAUAUACGAGAAUAAUAAUAAAAAGGAACAAAAAAAAAAAAAGAAAAGAACAAAAAAAAAA